AUUGAACGCUGGCGGCAGGCUUAACACAUGCAAGUCGAGCGGGGGAAGGUAGCUUGCUACUGGACCUAGCGGCGGACGGGUGAGUAAUGCUUAGGAAUAUGCCUAUUAGUGGGGGACAACAGCUCGAAAGGGAUGCUAAUACCGCAUACGUCCUACGGGAGAAAGCCGGGGAUCUUCGGACCUUGAGCUAAUAGAUGAGCCUAAGUCGGAUUAGCUAGUUGGUGGGGUAAAGGCCUACCAAGGCGACGAUCUGUAGCGGGUCUGAGCGGAUGAUCCGCCACACUGGGACUGAGACACGGCCCAGACUCCUACGGGAGGCAGCAGUGGGGAAUAUUGGACAAUGGGGGGGACCCUGAUCCAGCCAUGCCGCGUGUGUGAAGAAGGCCUUAUGGUUGUAAAGCACUUUAAGCGAGGAGGAGGCUACUCUAGUUAAUACCUAGGGAUAGUGGACGUUACUCGCAGAAUAAGCACCGGCUAACUCUGUGCCAGCCGCCGCGGUAA
rnacentral:rRNA from 1 species